rnacentral:rRNA from 1 species
GACGAACGCUGGCGGCGUGCCUAAUACAUGCAAGUCGAGCGGACUGAAUGGGAGCUUGCUCUUGUUCGGUCAGCGGCGGACGGGUGAGUAACACGUGGGCAACCUGCCCGCAAGACCGGGAUAACUCCGGGAAACCGGAGCUAAUACCGGAUAACACCGAAGACCGCAUGGCCUUUGGUUGAAAGGCGGCGCAAGCUGCCACUUGCGGAUGGGCCCGCGGCGCAUUAGCUAGUUGGUGAGGUAACGGCUCACCAAGGCGACGAUGCGUAGCCGGCCUGAGAGGGUGACCGGCCACACUGGGACUGAGACACGGCCCAGACUCCUACGGGAGGCAGCAGUAGGGAAUCUUCCGCAAUGGGCGAAAGCCUGACGGAGCGACGCCGCGUGAGCGAAGAAGGCCUUCGGGUCGUAAAGCUCUGUUGUGAGGGACGAAGGAGCGCCGUUUGAAGAAGGCGGCGCGGUGACGGUACCUCACGAGGAAGCCCCGGCUAACUACGU